UGAGAUCUCUAUCCUGUACAACAUAUGUUCUUAGUAGAUUUUCUGGUGAUCAUGGUGAUUAGCUUAACUCUGAUGGUUCGAUAUAGUGAGUGUGAGCAAGGUGAUUUAUUAUCCCUGUGUAGUGACAGUAUGCAGUGGGAAAAAGGCCGAGUGAGCACGUAACUAUUGUGAUAGCUAGUGAGGGUAGCACCCAUCUAUGUAGUAGAUGCAUAUUCUUGUGAACCUAGAUCCUAGAGAGGGAACACUUAUAUCUAUCUCUAUCUCCUAUCUUAUGUUAACCUUUGCUAUAUUGUCUCAAUCUUUGUUAUUAGUUUAGUUUAUCUCUCUACACAAUACAUACACUCAAUUUUGUUAGGAAGAUUGGUAUAAAGUGAGAGCUAGCAAUCCACUUUUUUCACGAAUUGAUAAACCUUGGUGGAAUACUCUAAGGGAAAAGAUACAACUGAUCCGUGCACUUGCGGUUCAUGAAUUGGCGUGCUAACUACCGUCAACAAUGGGUCACAACAAAUCGCUCGGCUCCAAAUCCGUCAGGACUCCUCCUAGAGCUUUCUCCUCUUCAUUAGGGUGACAUACGACGUCACUCUAGGAGACAAUGCUAUGGUGGUGAGAGGAAGAGGCGAGCUACCAGACUAGGAAUUUUUUUGGUAGUUUCAAGAAUGAAGAAGUAGCUUACUCGACAAGGGCUGGCAAGGAGGGUAAUAAUAUAAAGUGGCAUCGCCCUCAUUAACAACUGGCCCCCAUCAAGUUUGAUGGAUUGUUUCAUCACGCUAUUUCCAAGAGUGCCACAUCAUCUUUAUAUGUUUAGGUUGAUUAAUGAUACAAAUACACAAUUUCAUUUCACAGUUUCAUAUGCAAUUAGCAUUUAAAGCAGUGCAUUGUAUUCAGAUCAAAUGUGCCCAUGAAUUAUGUGGCCUCUCACAAAAAGCAUGGGAAUACACAAAUAUGACGUUAAUAUGGGAAAGUCUGGUCUAGAAACCAACGGUUAUAUAAGAAGAUCCGUUGUAUACAAACAUACACAUGCAGUUACUCAGGAAAGUCCUUUGUGCAAAAUAUCAAGAUACUGGAACUUGGACCAACCGCUUCCAUUCCCUCAUCAAUACUCUUUCUUGGAACUACAAACAUUCUAGUCCAUAACUUCUCCCUCUGCUAUGCGUCUACCUCUUCUCCAUCUUCUCCCUCUGCUCUGCAUCUUCUACCUUUUUCUUUGGCUAUCCAUUCAAUCUCUC
rnacentral:lncRNA from 1 species